UACGGAGGGGGCAAGCGUUGUUCGGAAUUAUUGGGCGUAAAGGGCGCGUAGGCGGCCAUGCAAGUCGGUUGUGAAAUCCCUUGGCUCAACCAAGGAACUGCGUCCGAAACUGCAUGGCUCGAGUCCGGGAGAGGGUAGUGGAAUUCCCAGUGUAGCGGUGAAAUGCGUAGAUAUUGGGAGGAACACCGGUGGCGAAGGCGGCUACCUGGACCGGUACUGACGCUGAGGCGCGAAAGCUAGGGGAGCAAAC
rnacentral:rRNA from 1 species